GUGGGCACGUCCGUGACACCAGUCUUGCUCUUUGCCCGUGUUUUCUUCUUGACCUCUGUUCUUCACUCAUCUCACACCUUCUCCACCACCGCCCUUCAUUUUGUCCUGCUUAUUUUUGUCUCUUCUUCUUCAUGGUUAUGUAACGCGGCGCAUAAGAAUGCCGCUGGCUGCCAGGACCGAGCGGACCCUGACAGCUGGAGGAUUGAUGGCAGACUGCUGCAGUCUGGAGACCACACACAAGGAGAGGCCGCCGCGAAGUUGCAGAAAAUAGGAAAAAGAAAACAGUUGGAGGACAGAAUGAACGAGCGAGUUCAAGUAAACGACACAUACUGCCCAUCGAUGUUAAAAAUCUGUGUGCACGCUGUCUCAGCAAAACCCAAAAAGUGACUCACUGAUGAAGGUGUCUUUAUGCAGCUAACGACCUCACACAGGUGCAUAUGAUGCAGGAUAAGACAUGGAGUGGAGGUGGACUUUUAAAGGCGGACUAACA